GCCUCCUUAGCUCAAUAGGUAGAGCACGCGGCUGUUAACCGCGGUGUCGUAGGUUCGAGUCCUACAGGAGGCGCCA
rnacentral:tRNA from 1 species